GAUCCUGGCUUAGGAUGAACGCUAGCGGCAGGCUUAACACAUGCAAGUCGAGGGGCAUCGGGAGUAGCAAUACUUGCCGGCGACCGGCGCAAGGGUGCGUAACGCGUGAGCAACAUGCCCGUAUCAGGGGGAUAAUCCAUGGAAACGUGGUCUAAUACCCCAUAGUAAUUAUGUAAGGCAUCUUAUAUAAUUUAAAGCUUUGGUGGAUACGGAUUGGCUCGCGUGACAUUAGCUGGAUGGUAAGGUAACGGCUUACCAUGGCUACGAUGUCUAGGGGUUCUGAGAGGAAGGUCCCCCACACUGGAACUGAGACACGGUCCAGACUCCUACGGGAGGCAGCAGUGAGGAAUAUUGGACAAUGGAUGGAAAUCUGAUCCAGCCAUGCCGCGUGCAAGGAAGACGGCCCUAUGGGUUGUAAACUGCUUUUGUAUGGGAGCAAUAAGGGCUACGUGUAGUCCGAUGAGAGUACCAUACGAAUAAGCACCGGCUAACUCCGUGCCAGCCGCGGC
rnacentral:rRNA from 1 species